UACGAAGGGGGCUAGCGUUGUUCGGAAUUACUGGGCGUAAAGCGCACGUAGGCGGAUACUUAAGUCAGGGGUGAAAUCCCGGGGCUCAACCCCGGAACUGCCUUUGAUACUGGGUAUCUCGAGUCCGGAAGAGGUGAGUGGAAUUCCGAGUGUAGAGGUGAAAUUCGUAGAUAUUCGGAGGAACACCAGUGGCGAAGGCGGCUCUCUGGUCCGGUACUGACGCUGAGGUGCGAAAGCGUGGGGAGCAAACAGG
rnacentral:rRNA from 1 species